rnacentral:rRNA from 1 species
CGGACGGGUGAGGAAUACAUCGGAAUCUACUCUGUCGUGGGGGAUAACGUAGGGAAACUUACGCUAAUACCGCAUACGACCUACGGGUGAAAGCAGGGGAUCUUCGGACCUUGCGCGAUUGAAUGAGCCGAUGUCGGAUUAGCUAGUUGGCGGGGUAAUGGCUCACCAAGGCGACGAUCCGUAACUGGUCUGAGAGGAUGAUCAGUCACACUGGAACUGAGACACGGUCCAGACUCCUACGGGAGGCAGCAGCG